rnacentral:rRNA from 1 species
UACAGAGGUCCCAAGCGUUAUUCGGAAUUAUUGGGCGUAAAGGGCGCGUAGGCGGCCUGACAAGUGGAAGGUGAAAUCCCUCGGCUUAACCGAGGAACUGCCCUCCAAACUGUCUGGCUUGAGACCGGGAGAGGUGAGUGGAAUUCCCAGUGUAGCGGUGAAAUGCGUAGAUAUUGGGAGGAACACCAGUGGCGAAGGCGGCUCACUGGACCGGUACUGACGCUGAGGCGCGAAAGCGUGGGAGCAAACGGG